GACAGAGGUGCCAAGCGUUAGGCGGAAUCACUGGGCUUAAAGCGUGUGUAGGCGGAUUUGUAAGUACCUUGUGAAAUCCCACGGCUUAACCGUGGAACUGCUCGGUAUACUGCGAAUCUUGGGCCAUCUAGGGGCGAGCGGAACAAGUGGUGGAGCGGUGAAAUGCGUAGAUAUCACUUGGAACGCCAAUGGUGAAAACAGGUAGCUGGGGAUGUGCUGACGCUGAGACACGAAAGCCAGGGGAGCAAACGGG
rnacentral:rRNA from 1 species